UAUCUCUCUCUCUCUCUCUCAAAUGAAAUCCCUAAAUCCCUAAAAUCGUCUCCAAAAUUUUUCGAUCCCUAAAAUCGCCGUGGCCAAGAUCUCGUCGCUGUUUUCGGAUCGGAUCUCAUCUCCAAGCUCCUCUCCGAUCUCUCCGAUCUCGUCGCCGUUGGUUUCGUCGUCGAGCUCGGAGAGAGAGAAAAAUAAUGGGAGAUGAUAAUCGCAGCGCCAAGCUUCUUCAGUACUCUAGAGAGAGAGAGGAGCAAGGAGAGAACAACGCGGAGAUCAACUUGAGGGAGAAGCUUGCGGAUGAGAACAAGAAGUUAUGGGUAGUUGCAGCUCCACCAAUCUUUACUCGCUUUUCGACGUUCGGCGUCGGCGUUAUAAGCCAGGCAUUUAUCGGUCAUAUCGGUCCUACAGAGCCGGCAGCCUAUGCGCUUGUGGGCACCGUCGUCCUUCGCCUCGCCAAUGGAUUGGUUGUGCCAGACAAUCCUUCAGAACGUGUAGCAGUUCUUCCAACAACCAGAAAGAUUGCUUCAAAGAACAAAAUCGUAUUCGGAACUGGGGAUUAUUGGCAUGCUCCUACUUUGACAGCAAACAUGGGAUUUGUGAGAGCUAUCUCACAAACCGGUAUGUCUUUGUACACUAUCGAACAUAGGCCCCGUGCUCUUACUGGUGACUAGUCUUCCUGGUGACUAGUCUUCAACACCAUCGGUGUCGAAAUGCAGAGUAUAAAACACAUUGCAAGAGUUGAGGCCACAUUAGAUUUCAGUAUAGGCACCUUGAAAGUUAUUUUAGUAGAGGCCUUUAGAAGCGUUAAAACCUCGACUCUGACGCAAGCCUAUAACAUUUAAUCACGUCUCUUUAAGCGAGGGAAGCAGUGGGUGAUUCUAGAUCAAGUUCAAAAGAGAAGAGAUCAUUUGAGGAUUCAGGACAGAUUAUCUUCCAAGUCAAAUUGUAAUUACGUAGUUAACGCAACUGAGUUACUUGGAGAAAAAAAAAUGGUUCCAGCUAUUUUUGGUCAUGGUCAUUACUUGCUCUUAAGUGCCUCGCAAGUAUAUAGGCAUGAAAGGAAUUUCACCAUCAUCUUGUUGCAUCAGGUUGGCUUCAGAUCGGUUGUUGACUUACGCUUGAACAUUGCACCCUAUAAAUCGAUAAUGAGUUUUCUUGUUUUUGUAUCUUGCAGAAGUCUGAUAGUAUCACAUUUGCCUGAGUCUAAACACAAUUUGUUAGUAAUUUCUUUGUGUUUUUUCACUAGAUGUGAGUUUUUUCUUGAGAUGUAUAGAUCGUUGGAAGGCUGUAGAAUUUGUUCCGGGACAUUGAAUACAAACAUGCUAUUUCUUGAAAACAAGAGGUAAAGUCAAAAAAAUGUUAUCUUCUGUGAACUGGUUCAAAUUAUGCUUGUUUAUGAUAGUUUAUUAUUUCAAUGAAUAUGUUUAUUUUCCGGAUUGCUCACAUAUAUUUGUUUCAUGGAUUGGAGUUCUCCUUAGGUAGUUAAGUAGGUUGUUCUUCAAACACAGGUAAAAACCGAUCUUCUCGUUUGUAUCAAAACUGCAUCUCAGUUUUGCAUGAAAACAUAUGAUUGAUGUUGAAUUAGAAAAUAUGAGUUCACUGAUUAGCAUGUGAAUCAUUGUACGUGCACAUGCAAAUUGGUUUAUCUUAAGUUAUAGAGGGAAUGUGUAGAGUUUAUAGUGUCCAGAUUGUUGUUUAACAUGUAAACAAACUUUAGUAUAUCAUGUAAACAAACUUUCAAGGUCUACUCUUUUAUGACUGGAUAAAAUAGCUUCAUCUAUUUUUUGCCUAUAUAUUAUCUUGCAUUUGAAUAACUAAUAAUCAGAGUUGAAAGAGUAUUAUGAAUCAUAAUAUAUUAGGUCUGUGAAAUAAAAUAUAAAUCUAAUGUCAAACAAUUCUCUUGAUCUGAAUGAACUAUGUAGUUGCUCAAAAGGAAGCUUAUGGUAUCUGCCAAGUAUUAUUCAAGCACAUGUUGUACGAACUGUUCAAUUAUGGUAGGUUUUAGGGUUUAUCCCUCGAGUUGUUUCAGAUAACUCUUUGGGCUUUUUGUGAAUUUGAGGGGAAAAAGGUAGCAUCUUGUCGGAUAUGUUCUUUACACCUUGCUAUAUCAAUGCUAAAAGAAUUUUUUUUACUUGCCCCAUAAAUCAUUGUGUGUCUGUAUAAUUAUCACCUUAGACUUUUGCGUACUUGAUCUAUCAAAGUGUUUCAAAGAGUGUUUUUUUUCUUCUUGUCCUUUGUGCAAUUUCAGACGCAUCUUAAUAGUUCUACAUACAUUUCCCCCUUGAACUUUCAAUGUAGUGGAUUCAGGGGCCGGAGUGAUGGUGGCAGAGGCCGAGGAAGAUGAGGUGGAGGUCGAGGUGGUCCUGAAGGCCGGGGUGGUGGUGGAAGAGGACGCGGUGCUGGUCGAGGUGGUGGUGGAAGAGGGCGUGGUGGAGGUCGCGGUGGUGGCUGUGGAGGUGGAAUGAAAGGGAGGAAGCAAAGUAGUGGUUCAGCUGCAUUGGCAUGAUGGAGUCUUUGUUGCCAAGGGGAAGGAAGAUGCCCUUUGUACCAAGAACAGGGUUGUCGGUGAAUCCGUUUAUGGUGAGAAGCGCGUUGCUGUGCAGGUGUUUAAAAGAAUCCUCAAAGCAUAUGCAACAAAACUUUAUUCUCGAUUACCCAAGGGGGGUUCAGGGCUAGUUGCAGCUGCUACUGGUACAAAUGGGCAAAUCAAGGUUAUAUAAGCACUCUUUUACUUGUUGCUUGUUCCUAGUGAGUAUUUGACAGGUUCCUAGUGAAAUUGGCGAAAUUGGCGAUUGAGGCUGACAGGUUCCUAGUGAGUAUUUGACAUUGAGGCACAAGUUUUUGGAAACAAAUAGAGAAUAUAAAGUCUUUGACCGAGAAGUUUCAUGUUUUGUAAUCAAAUGUUGAUGUUGUUUGAAUAUUAGUUCGGUACGAUAUUUUCUGAGCUGAAAUGUUGGUAGUGUGGAUUUUAUACUUUGUAGUUUUUAUACUAUACCGAUGUAUGUUGGCACUUAUCAUUAUGGUUGAUUAUGCUCAACAUUUUCACUUUGA